GUGGGGGAUAUUGCACAAUGGAGGGAACUCUGAUGCAGCGACGCCGCGUGAGGGAAGAAGGUUUUCGGAUUGUAAACCUCUGUCUUCGGUGACGAAAAUGACGGUAGCCGAGGAGGAAGCCACGGCUAACUACGUGCCAGCAGCCGCGGUAAUACGUAGGUGGCAAGCGUUGUCCGGAAUUACUGGGUGUAAAGGGAGCGUAGGCGGGAAGGCAAGUUGAUUGUCUAAACUAUCGGCUCAACCGAUAGUCGCGAUCAAAACUACUUUUCUUGAGUGAAGUAGAGGUAAGCGGAAUUCCUAGUGUAGCGGUGAAAUGCGUAGAUAU
rnacentral:rRNA from 1 species